CCUACGGGGGGCAGCAGUAAGGAAUAUUGGGCAAUGGACGCAAGUCUGACCCAGCCAUGCCGCGUGAAGGAUGAAUGUCCUAUGGAUUGUAAACUUCUUUUAUGCAGGAAAAAUAUCCCGGUCGUGAACCGGGACUGAUGGUACUGUAUGAAUAAGCAUCGGCUAACUCCGUGCCAGCAGCCGCGGUAAUACGGAGGAUGCAAGCGUUAUCCGGAUUCAUUGGGUUUAAAGGGUGCGCAGGCGGAAUGAUAAGUCAGUGGUGAAAUCUCCCGGCUCAACCGGGAAACUGCCAUUGAUACUGUCGUUCUUGAGUACAGUUGAAGUGGGCGGAAUGUGUCAUGUAGCGGUGAAAUGCUUAGAUAUGACACAGAACACCGAUAGUGAAGACAGCUCACUAAGCUGUAACUGACGCUCAUGCACGAAAGCGUGGGGAUCAAACAGGAUUAGAUACCCUAGUAGUCC
rnacentral:rRNA from 1 species